AUGAUAUUUUUAUGUUGUGUAGAUCAUGAGACCACUAAUGUGGGAGAGGCAGGUCGAAACACAGAUGAUUAUUACAGCAAAAGGUUAAAACCAGAGAUAGGAAUGGAAUUUGAGAAUGAAGAUAUAGCAUAUGAGUUUUAUAAUGCAUAUGCAGGACAUGUAGGUUUCAGUGUUAGGAAAUUUUGGCAUGAUAAAUCCUCAACGAAUGUUAUUCGAACAAAGAAAUUUGUAUGCUCAAAGGCAGGUUUCAAGGACAAGAGCAAGGAACAAUGCCAGCGGAAGCGAGCAGAUACAAGAGUUGGAUGUCUGGCAGAGAUGACCAUCAAAAUAAGUGCUAACGAAAAAUAUGUUGUAAGCAGCUUGGAGGAUGCCCAUAAUCAUGAACUCGUAACUCCAAGCAAAUCCCAUCUACUGCGAUCCCAAAGAAGAAUUACAGAAGCUCAAAAGGCCCAGAUUGACAUAUUGAAUGAUUCGGGUAUUAGACCAAAAUCUGGUCAUGAAGUGAUGAGUAGGCAAGCAGGGGGCCGACAAAGUCUUUGCUUCGGUCACAAAGAUUAUAAAAAUUAUCUCCGGUCAAAGCGUAUGCAAUCAAUCCAAGAAGGAGACACAGGUGCCAUUCUUCAAUACCUACAGGAGAAGCAAAUGGAAAAUCCUUCCUUUUUCUAUGCAAUACAAGUAGAUGAAGAGGAUAUGAUGACCAAUAUAUUCUGGGCAGAUGCAAGAUCAAUAUUAGAUUAUCACUACUUUGGUGAUGUGGUAUGCUUUGACACAACCUUUAAGACAAAUAGUUAUGGAAGACCAUUUGCCCCUUUUGUUGGUGUCAACCAUCAUAAACAAACAGUGGUUUUUGGAGCUGCAUUAUUAUAUGAUGAAACAGCUGAUACGUUUGAAUGGUUAUUUGAAACAUUCAAAAGGGCUAUGUCAGGGAAAGAACCAAAAACAAUAUUGACCGACCAAUGUCCUGCCAUUAUUAGUGCCAUUGACAAGGUUUUUACCAAUUCAAUACAUCGUCUAUGUGUGUGGCACAUGUAUCAGAAUGCUGCAAAACAUUUGAGUCAUGUUUUCCAAGGUUCAAAGACAUUUAAGAAAGAUUUUGGCAAGUGUGUUUAUGAUUUUGAAGAAGUUGAUGAUUUCUUAGCAGGUUGGAAUGAUAUGCUAGUGAAAUAUAAUUUGGAAGACAAUGACUGGCUACAUAGAUUAUUUCAGAACAAGGAGAAGUGGGCUUUGGUUUAUGGUCGGCAGACCUUUUGUGCGGAUAUGAAAUCUACGCAAAGAAGCGAGAGUAUGAAUGCACUAUUGAAGCGAUACUUGCAUGUUCGCCUUGAUUUAUUAGAUUUCUUCAAGCACUAUGAGAGGGCCGUGGAUGAUAGAAGGUAUGCUGAAGUAGAAAGUGAUUUCUAUGCGAGUCAAACAUCACCAAAAGUGCCACAUGUGCAGAUGUUGAUUCAAACUUCCAAAGUAUAUACACCUGCUAUGUUCGAGGUAUUUAAAGAAGAAUUUGACAUGGUAAUGGGAUAUUGUGUGUAUGAAAGUGGCCGUGCUGCCUCUAUUUCUGAAUUCAAGGUUACCCAUUCAGCUAGCCAAAAUAGUCAUACAGUGAAAUUUGAUCACGAUGGAUCAAAAGUUUCCUGCUCAUGCAAAAAGUUUGAAUUUAUUGGGGUCUUGUGUCGUCAUGCAUUGAAGGUGUUGGACCACAACAAUAUUAAGGAGUUGGCACCGGAAUAUAUCUUGAAAAGAUGGACAAGGCAAGCAAAAUCAGGGCCAUCAUAUGCAAUUCAAAAGUGCGCUGAUGAUGAAGAUGCUAGAGUUGUGCUAGCUAGGCAGUAUGGAUCACUAUGUCGCACUUACAAUAACAUUUUGAGCAAAGCAGCAGCAAACAAAGAGGCAUAUGCACUACUGCAAAGUAUGUCAAUAGAACUAAUGGAAAAGGUGGACCAGAUUUUACAUGGAAGCAACCAAUCGAAAGAUAUACCAUCAAAUCAUGAACAAGCUGAGAAACAAGCAGAGAAACAGCCAGUUAAAUGCAACAAUGAGAAUGUUGUCCAAGCAAAAGGAAUAAGGAGAAAAGAAAAAGGAAAUAGCAGUAAGAGGAUUAAAUCUGGAUUGGAACUAAACAAAAAGAAUACACACAAGAAAGGUAUGGUAUAG
rnacentral:rRNA from 1 species